GACGAACGCUGGCGGCACGCCUAACACAUGCAAGUCGAGCGGACUUAAAAGAGCUUGCUUUUUUAAGUUAGUGGCGGACGGGUGAGUAACACGUGAGCAACCUGCCUCUGAGAGGGGGAUAGCUUCUGGAAACGGAUGGUAAUACCCCAUAAAAUAUAAAUAUCGCAUGAUAGAUAUAUCAAAGAAAUUCGCUCAGAGAUGGGCUCGCGUCUGAUUAGAUAGUUGGUGAGGUAACGGCUCACCAAGUCGACGAUCAGUAGCCGGACUGAGAGGUUGAACGGCCACAUUGGGACUGAGACACGGCCCAGACUCCUACGGGAGGCAGCAGUGGGGAAUAUUGCACAAUGGAGGGAACUCUGACGCAGCGAUGCCGCGUGGAGGAAGAAGGUUUUCGGAUUGUAAACUCCUUUUAUCAGGGACGAUAAUGACGGUACCUGAAGAAAAAGCUCCGGCUAACUACGUG
rnacentral:rRNA from 1 species